rnacentral:rRNA from 1 species
GAUGAACGCUGGCGGCGUGCCUAAUACAUGCAAGUCGAGCGAACAGACGAGGAGCUUGCUCCUCUGACGUUAGCGGCGGACGGGUGAGUAACACGUGGAUAACCUACCUAUCAGACUGGGAUCACUUCGGGAAACCGGCGCUAAUACCGGAUAAUAUCUUGCACCGCAUGGUUCAAUAGUGAAAGACGGUUUUGCUGUCACUUAUAGAUGGAUCCGCGCCGCAUUAGCUAGUUGGUAAGGUAACGGCUUACCAAGGCAACGAUGCGUAGCCGACCUGUGAGGGUGAUCGGCCACAUUAGAGCUGAGACGCCGUCCAUACGCCUGAGGGACGCACCAGUAGGGUACCUUCCGCAGUGGGCGAAAGCCUGGCGGAGCAACGCAGAGUGAGUGAUAAAGAUGUUGGGAUCGUAAAGCUGUGUUAUGAGGGAUGAACAGAUGUGUAAGUAACUGUGCACGUCUUGACGGUACCUGAUCAGAAAGCCACGGCUAACUACGUG